AAAAUGGAAUCCGUUAAGUAAAUGUAAAUGUUUUAAUAUAAUAUACAAGUAAAAAUAAAUAAAAUAGCAGCGCUUUCUUUGCUUUUAAUGACACACAGCUGCUAAGUUCCAUUAUUCCGAAGCAGGAGGGGGCAGUAAUGUACAUACGCUGGUUGCCAGCCGCCGUUAAUACUCAAGUAAGUUAGAGAAAAGACAACUCGGGAAAGUGAGGACAAAUAAGGGAUUAUUGGCUUGUUUUACACGUAUCAUUGUUUUGUGUUCCCCUCCUUCGUAAAAAAACAGACAAUUCCACGUCAACUCGAACACGCAAAACCCCGGUAUGAUGCAUUGUCAUGAGCAUGCCAAACCAACAGAUGGCGAUAUAUUCCUUAACCCAGAGAAGCCACUACAGUCUCGUCUUGCCAUGAACAAGGAAAAAAUGCGGGAGCUGACUUCGCAGACGUACGUGGCUCAGGUCAUUGGCACUGUUGUGUAAGUAUUUCACUAACAGACACCUCAAGACAUUUUAGUGUGUGUAACUGGACAUCAUUUAUGUAAAUCUGUAAUAUUCAAUUGUUAUGUUUUAUGUCUUUGCAAAACAGAUCACAACAUCAUUUGCUGUGCCUGGGAUAAUGAAGACAAUUUGGGUUGUCGUGUUACACGCCAGGUGAACAACAUCAGAGUGCGGCAGUCAGAGAUCCUAAAGAAGGACUCCAUAUGUUUACUCGAGACAGUACGCCGUACAUCUCUUACGACGAGGAUAUUUGUUUCAGGACCGCUUUCCCGAUACUGACAAGGACAUUUAAGCAAUUAUGUGAGCUGCAGUCUGGAUCCUGCCUCUGUCAGAUGACCUAACACAAAUGGAAAGAUGACAUCAACCCUUGCAAGGACUUCAGACGAUCCCAGCACUGGACUACAUACAGUGGGGUGCCCAAACUUGUGCAUGUCACUGUACUGAUAUAUACUAUACAAAUAAUAUUUUCAGUAGUCUGUGUCAAAUUUUAUUUCAAGUCAAUGGGUACCAUCAACUGUAUGAUUGACAUCAUUUAUCAGAUUAAAGAAUUUUUGGCAAGUUUAUAACAACAUGAAGAUCAAAAUCCCUGGUGGUAAAUCAACACUGCUCAGUCUUAUCUAUUUGAGUACACUGACGAUCCUGAAGGUGUGUUUAACAUUAAUACAAUAAUAAAGUAAUGCAUAAAGUAAUAAUUGAACAUUACUGAUGAUGUGUGCUGUUAACAAGCAGAAGGGUAAAGAUAAACUAAAACAAAGACGUCAAAGCAACAAGAUGACUUUGUUCAGACAACUCAACCCUUUUAAAAUGUCUUUUAUUUAACAGUGCAUUUUAUCCUUUAUCUAAGACAAAGCAGGCCAUGUUAACUUCAUUUAAUACAUUCUGGAACAAAUCUGGGUCCACUUAUCAUUUCUACUUACAAAUUAACAUUUCUGUUCUGCUCCGUUUACAGUGUUUGGGUGAGAUCUAGACCGAGGACUAAGGCGUAUACUAGGACAGAACUAAGUGUUGUAGCCCACAGGUGAUCCUAAAGCAACAAAGAGGAACCAUGGAGAGGAAGAAGUGGUGUCCAGAUGUUUAAAAGGCGGUGUUCGGGACAGGAAACGAAGGCAACAAAGAGGAACCUCUAAGGUUUAAAGGCACUGCUUGCAGAGACGAGUGCAGAAAAUAAAGACAGAAGACCUGACGAGAAUGUUUUAUGAUUAAAUGUUUUUGUUAUGUACAUGCACAUUAUUAUUUACAAUAUAUUUCUGAGAUACAUAAAUAUGUGACCUUG